rnacentral:sRNA from 1 species
GAGGUGCUUCCUCAUCUCCAGGGGUGGAGAGCAUCACUGUGUAUGAAGAGAUCCUGAGGCAGGCUCGUUAUCGGCUGCGACACGGAGCUGCCCUCUAUGCCAGGAAGUUCCGGCUUUCCUGCUCGGAAAUGAAUGGCCGUUACUCCAGCAAUGAAUUCAUCGUGGAGGUCAAUGUCCUGCACAGCAUGAACCGGGUUGCCCACCCCAGCCACGUGCUCAGCUCCCAGCAGUUCCUGCACCGUGGUCACCAGCCCCCGCCUGAGAUGGCUGGACACAGCCUGGCCAGCUCCCACAGAAACUCCAGUACGUAAGCUUGGUGGGGCUGGGCAGGGAGGGGCAGGUGGCAGGUGAGUUGGUUGGGACAGGUAUCCUCCCCCUCCCCCUCUGG